AUCUGGGUAUCUCUCAAGAACCCCACAAUUUUGUCUGUUUUCAUUUGGUUCUUUCUCAAAUCUCCCAAGUUCCAACAAAAUUUCAUCUCUAGGGUUUACCACAUUGUCAUAUCCUCCGAUCUGGGUUUCUCUUCAAUGGAGCAAGAAACUAAAUCUGAAAAGAAGAUGAAGAAAAGCUUAAUUGCAUCGCUAAUGGAGUCCGGCGCCUCCCCCCUCCGCCCUCCGCCGUUCAAGGAAGACACCUACCACCACCAGAAUCUCAAACCCUCAGAAAAGAAAGCACUCGCAGACCUCAAAGACAUGCUCCAUUCCACCUCCAAUUUCCAAGAAUCCAUGUGGGGAAUCCCUCUCACCAUGACAUCGGAAUCAGAAAAGUCCGACGUCAUACUGUUGAAAUUCCUCAGGGCAAGAGAAUUCAAGGUCCAAGAGACGUUCAACAUGCUCCUCAAGUGUCUUUCAUGGCGAAAAGACUUCGGAACCGACUUCAUUGUUGAUGAAGAUUUAGGGUUUAAAGAACUCGAAGGCGUCGUCGCUUACAUGAACGGAUUCGACAGAGAAGGCCACCCCGUGUGCUACAACGCUUAUGGCAUCUUCAAAAACCAUGAAAUGUACGACAAAAUCUUCGGAGACGACGAAAAAUUACAGAAGUUUCUUCGAUGGAGAGUUCAAGUUCUUGAAAGGGGAAUCAAGAUGCUUCAAUUCAAGCCUGGAGGUGUUAAUUCAAUCAUUCAAGUCACCGAUCUUAAAGAUAUGCCCAAAAGAGAGCUUCGUGUUGCUUCAAAUCACAUCCUCUCUCUCUUCCAAGAUAAUUACCCAGAAAUGGUUGCUUGUAAGGUACCCCCUCCCCANUACUAGGGUCCACCCUGGUACGCUCAGCAUACGUUUCGUAUGCCCAACGUACUAACCUAAGGCCCAAAUUACUAUAAUGCCACUAAGGACCAUCCAUGCAAUCUUUUCCAAUUCCAAGGGCUAAAACAUAACAUUAUUCAAACAUUGGAUCGAUAUUGAAAUUACUUGACAUCGGGAUGUUAUACAUUUUUAGAAGAUCGUUUGCUUGAAUAGAAGCAUUCUCUUUCAAAAAAUUGUUUAGAAAAUCUCUUAGUUCUCAUUUUGAGUUUAGACACACCGUAAGGCGCACCUAAAUCCCUCAAACCAAGGCUCCGAUAACAACUUAUAAUAUCCCAAAAAUUACAAAGAGAAUUUUCACUUUUAAAAUAAAUUACCAAUUAAACUCGUCUCAAAAACCGUUGAAGAGAACAUUGUCCCCGAUGCACGGCAUGUCGGGUUUUUAUAUGGAGCAUAAGUCAUAAGAAUUGUUUGGUUAAAAUGGAGCUACCGAGCUAAACACCAUACCCUCUCGCUUUAGUGCACAUUUUGUAGUAUUUUUAUUCAGAAAUAUUAUCCCAAUAUUUUUUCAAUUUUUCUUAUUUUUUAUUUUAAAAAUCUUUUGAAAAAAAUAAACAUGAUAUUUAUUUAUUUAUUUUCAAUUUUCUACGUAUCUUUCCAACAACAAAAUGUUAUUUGAUCGAUUGUAAAUAAAUUUUUGAAUUUUAUUUACAUAUUCUCUUGAAUUUUAUUAGAUAAAAUUAUUUUAGUUUUUUAAAAAAGAAAAACAAACGUACUCUUUCUUUUAUUGAAUACAUUGGUCACAAUCAAUCAUAACAAGAGACCCACCACUGCUGUUCUUGUUUGGUGUUUCUCUUUUCGCUCUCCUCUCAUUUUCCCUUCACAGUCACGCCCCCACAGACACAUUCACAAACUCCUUUCCCUUUCCAUCGUCUGGGAAUCUCCAACAUUUGAAUUUUCUUUUUCAAUCGCAAAUCCCCAUAAUCUUCAGAUACUUUGAUUCUUUCGAUUCCUUUCAUCUGGGUAUCUCUCAAGAACCCCACAAUUUUGUCUGUUUUCAUUUGGUUCUUUCUCAAAUCUCCCAAGUUCCAACAAAAUUUCAUCUCUAGGGUUUACCACAUUGUCAUAUCCUCCGAUCUGGGUUUCUCUUCAAUGGAGCAAGAAACUAAAUCUGAAAAGAAGAUGAAGAAAAGCUUAAUUGCAUCGCUAAUGGAGUCCGGCGCCUCCCCCCUCCGCCCUCCGCCGUUCAAGGAAGACACCUACCACCACCAGAAUCUCAAACCCUCAGAAAAGAAAGCACUCGCAGACCUCAAAGACAUGCUCCAUUCCACCUCCAAUUUCCAAGAAUCCAUGUGGGGAAUCCCUCUCACCAUGACAUCGGAAUCAGAAAAGUCCGACGUCAUACUGUUGAAAUUCCUCAGGGCAAGAGAAUUCAAGGUCCAAGAGACGUUCAACAUGCUCCUCAAGUGUCUUUCAUGGCGAAAAGACUUCGGAACCGACUUCAUUGUUGAUGAAGAUUUAGGGUUUAAAGAACUCGAAGGCGUCGUCGCUUACAUGAACGGAUUCGACAGAGAAGGCCACCCCGUGUGCUACAACGCUUAUGGCAUCUUCAAAAACCAUGAAAUGUACGACAAAAUCUUCGGAGACGACGAAAAAUUACAGAAGUUUCUUCGAUGGAGAGUUCAAGUUCUUGAAAGGGGAAUCAAGAUGCUUCAAUUCAAGCCUGGAGGUGUUAAUUCAAUCAUUCAAGUCACCGAUCUUAAAGAUAUGCCCAAAAGAGAGCUUCGUGUUGCUUCAAAUCACAUCCUCUCUCUCUUCCAAGAUAAUUACCCAGAAAUGGUUGCUUGUAAGGUACCCCCUCC
rnacentral:lncRNA from 1 species